GAUGAACGCUGGCGGCGUGCCUAACACAUGCAAGUCGGACGAAGUUACUUGUUUAGAUCUCUUCGGAGUGACGAACUUUUAACUUAGUGGCGGACGGGUGAGUAACACGUGAGCAACCUGCCUUUCAGAGGGGGAUAACGGCUGGAAACGGUCGCUAAUACCGCAUAACAUAUUGAAUCGGCAUCGGUUUAAUAUCAAAGGAGCAAUCCGCUGAAAGAUGGGCUCGCGUCUGAUUAGAUAGUUGGUGGGGUAACGGCCCACCAAGGCGACGAUCAGUAGCCGGACUGAGAGGUUGGCCGGCCACAUUGGGACUGAGACACGGCCCAG
rnacentral:rRNA from 1 species